AGGAUAAGAACCGUCCAGGCUAGCCAAGGAGACUGCCUAUGAGAUCAGUUGCCUGCCUGCUCCACCAAAAUGCAAGCGAGCGAGGGAGGCCACAGGCAAGUCAUCCUUGGCUACCAGGAUGAUCAGCCCUUAUCA
rfam:Setaria italica strain Yugu1 chromosome VI, whole genome shotgun sequence.